UAAGGAAUAUUGCGCAAUGGGCGACAGCCUGACGCAGCGACGCCGCGUGGGGGAUGAAGGUCUUCGGAUUGUAAACCCCUUUCGGCAGGGAAGAUGGAACGGGUAACCGUUCGGACGGUACCUGCAGAAGCAGCCACGGCUAACUUCGUGCCAGCAGCCGCGGUAAUACGAAGGUGGCAAGCGUUGUUCGGAUUUACUGGGCGUACAGGGAGCGUAGGCGGUUGGGUAAGCCCUUCGUGAAAUCUCCGGGCCUAACCCGGAAAGUGCGGAGGGGACUGCUCGGCUAGAGGAUGGGAGAGGAGCGCGGAAUUCCCGGUGUAGCGGUGAAAUGCGUAGAGAUCGGGAGGAAGGCCGGUGGCGAAGGCGGCGCUCUGGAACAUUUCUGACGCUGAGGCUCGAAAGCGUGGGGAGCAAACAGG
rnacentral:rRNA from 1 species